UGCAGCCUUCACAUUUAGGUCUCGGGAAAGGGGGAGCAAUUUCUCUGAAGAUGCAUUCAGGAGAAAGCUCAGCGUUUUUCUCCUUCAGGUCUGCCUGACAACAGGGAGAGUGUCUAGGUCCACACUUCUGUGAGUCAGGAGACUCCAGCCCUGCUAGGGAGGCCUGCAGGAGGGUACCAACCAACAGCCUUUGGGGAGCAGCACCUGCAGUUACAUUCAAAGGCAUGACUUUUCCAAGCAGUUUGUGAACUGGCCGGCAUUGUCCCCGAAAGGAUAAAGGCCUAGGUUCUUUACCUGACUGGCAGAAGCAUUCCAGCACUACGAAAGGACUCUAAACAUUGUUUUCACAACCCUCAGGGCGCAUGAUGUAAUGGUCAGCGCUUGUACGUGGGAGCAAGAAAGCCUUUCAUGAACUGCAAACUUUAUUCAAUAAAAAUGAUUGUGCUCCAGCCCUUAUUCCCUCCUAAAGAGGAGAAAACAUACAAAUAUCAUGUAGAAAUCUCGAGGAAUCCUAAAGACUCCAGUGGAUGCUUCAGUAGAACGUGUUUUUCUAGAUGGUCAUACCAGCAGCUGGAAAGUCUGCCUUAUACAUUUCAAAGGUAAAGACUCCACUCAGCAUGGUUUAGCAACAAAGGGGUCACUAAACUUCUCUGGUGACACUGGAGUGGGGAGACUCGCUGCUGGUUAUGUCUGGACCAAAUGUCCUGUCCCCAUGAAAGACCCUUGACAGGUGCUCUUUGCUAAACAUCAGCCUAGCCUUGAUGGUGAUAAUACACAGAAGGGGGAAAAAACUUCAGAGACGCUAAUGACUGUAGUUACCCAACUUCUGCCUUAAAUGGGUUUUAUUAGCUUCCCUCCUUGGAGUUCUUUAGGAUAAAGUGGGAAAACAAAUUGGCCUGAUGGGAAGUGAGUUGUGAAAAGAGAAUGGCUAAGGAGAAGACUCAGGGACCAUCCUGUUUGAGAAUUCCAAGAGGAAAAUAAAGGUGAUGAAACAGGGCCUAGACUGCUCUUUCUUGAUCAAGGAGUUCGCUGGCAGAGCUGACAACAUGACGUGUUACCGGGGAGAAGAAACAGACUCACGAGCGACAUCGGUAACUUGACAUUUGGCCAAGGAGUCUCCAAACGGGAUUCUCAACUCUAGAAUGCUACGAAGGUGGGAGACUGUGAGCUGAUAGCACUCGGAGACACAGAAAAAGUUCUCUCUGGGUAGGAGAGAGAAGCCUUGAGGCCCUCUGCCCUGACUUGAAGCCACCCCAAGUGCUCCUUCGCUGGCCACUCCUUCAUAGUGAUUCCAAGAUGGGCUCCGAAAUUCCUUCCUGCAUUUGUUUAAAGCUAGUUUCCUAUAUUCAAUUCCACCUGCUACUGCAUUUCUCCGUGCCUCCCACUAUCUCCUAAAUCACUCUUUCCUUGACAUACUCUUGAGGAGUGGGAACUUUCCCCUUCCGCAGACACUGAUAGAUCUGCUGUGCUGACCAGGCAUCCUGGGGUAAAGACCAGCUGAGCUUCAUUUCCAGAGGGUGAAAAAAUGUGUUAGGGUUGAGCUUUGUUAUCAACACUGAGUGUUCCACUGCUCCAAAAUUAAGUAAAAAACCAACCAACAAAAAAGCUUUCUCUUUUUGCUAUAUGAAACCUGCUUUUUCUCCAUCUCUUUCUAGACAGUGGUGAAGUACUCACAAAAGGUUUGUAGAAAAUAAUUAAAGAGGUGAUAUGGAUUAGUGAAUAAAAGAGAACUGAGACCACUCGGGGUCAAUUUGGGUAGAGCUAUUAAUGCUUCCGAUUCCUCAACUUUAAAAUGUAUAUA